GCCUCGUUAGCUCAGUUGGUAGAGCAGCUGACUCUUAAUCAGCGGGUCAUAGGUUCGAGUCCUACACGGGGUACUA
rnacentral:tRNA from 1 species